AAGAGGGCGCCAGAUCUCAUUACAGAUGGUUGUGAGCCACCUUGUGGUUGCUGGGAAUUGAACUCACGAACCCUGGAAGAGCAGCUAGUGCUCUUAAACACUGAGCCAUCUUUCCAGCCCCCAGGUUAGUCUAAAACUCCAAAUCCUCUUAUUUCUGCCUCUCAGUGCUAGGUGAGAUUGUAGGUGUGUGCACCAGGCUUAGCUCCAGGAUAUAUGUAUAUAUAUAUGUAUAUAUAUAUAUGUAUAUAUAUGUAUAUAUAUGUAUAUAUAUGGUUCCUUGUGUUGAUGGCUACAUGUGGCUGGCCAUGUUGAUUGUAUGUGACUGGCUGUGUGGAAGGCUACGUCUGUGAAAGCCCACUAGGCUUCCACUUGUGUACUUCAGUGUGUAGUUUUGCCGUAAUUAUAAAAGAAGUCAGUGGUUGCCAUUUGCUUGUGGAAUUAAUUUUACACUAUUAAACUGGGAAGAUAAUAUGCAAAGCUCUAUCCCUUGUAGUCUCAAGCUAUGUUCAGCAAGGUUUUUUCUUUUUAACUUAUUUUGUUAUAUGAUUUCUUUCAUGAUCCCAUUAAAUCAAUGAAUACAGGAUUUUUUUUAAAAAAAGAUCUGUUUAAUUAUUAUGUUUUGUGUAUGUGUGUAGUAGCAUGAGUUUUGUGGACCACAUACAAGGAGGAGUCCAUGGAAACCAGAGAAGAGUAUAGGAUCUCCUGGAACAGGAAUUCCAGUUGGUCGAGAGCUACCUGAUGAGGGUCCUGGGAACUGAACCUGGGGCGUCCACAAGCGCAGGAAGUCCUCUUAUCCACCAAGCCGAAUUUCUGGCCCCCAGACUCUCUGGUUCUCAGUGAUGAGAAAGACACAGAUGAUGGUUGAUGCUGUGAUUUUCCUCUGUAGCUAGAUGAAAGGAGAUGCUAAAUUUCAGUCAGAGAUGUGAAAACAGCAGUGUGCGGUGUUGUGCGUCUGACAGCAGCUCUCUUCCACAUUGCCUCUCCCGUUUCCAUCUCCUCUGGUGUUUGAUCCCCCACCCCCACCCCUAGUUUGGGCUCAGGUAAGCCCCAGGACACUCUCAGCUUUAGUGUUGUGUCGCUCUCUUCCUCAAACCCACAGAGAUAGCAAGUAGUCUGAAUGUGUGCAGGGCAGAUAAAUCCGACAGAAGAGAAGGUGGGUAACACAAAGCCCGAGCCCUCCCUCCGGGCGUUCGAAUAUAACAGUUGCUUCUCAAAAACUUACGGUAAUGUUCUAACCAAGUAAAGAUUAGCUCAGAGCUGGUCGGAGUGUAGCCAGUGUUCAAUCAGCUGUCAGUUCUCCCCUGUCCCCUAUCCGAGAUCUCUGUAGAGUUUCCUGUGUGGAGAAAGUUCUUGCUGAUCUCUGAUUCAAACUACAGCUGGUUCUGAGGUUGGCACUUCCUGCUUCCUCCAGCUGGAAACCAUCUGGCUUCUGUCUAUGCUCCCUGAGAUCUUGGUUCAAGUCUGUCUGUUUAGAUUUGUAGCUCAGGCUACGUUUGACAUGGCACUGCUGUGAUCCAGACUUCCCUCUCCCUGACUGUCAAGCUCCCUAGGACAGGGAGGGCAUUUACCCUGCUCCUCUCUGCAUCUUCCUUAGCACCCUUGCUUGGUAGUCCCCAGAACUGGGGGCUCGGAAGACUCAGGGUAUCCCUGCUGGGCUGACCUCUGCCUCCCACCACUCUCUGUCUUAUACUAUCCUACUACUGAUGAGCUCUAAUCUGUUUGCCACUGGAAAUAAAACCCCAGUAUCAUUUUCUCUUCACUGGGGGCCUCAUACGAUAACCGUAAACCUUCCAGAAAGAUGGUUGAUGCUAUGUCAAGUGUUCAAGGAAUGGCAUUCACUCCUUGGCUCGUUUAUUCAUAUCAUCAUUCAAAGAUUAGGUGAGAGUUUGCUGUACAAAACAGAUCAGAUUAGAAGUGGGUAUACGCAAACCAUGAUAUAUGUUUUUGAUGUGGUUUGUGGGUUGCUUAGGAAUAAGGGGAGCAAUGUCUCUAUGAAAGUUGUGGUCCAUCUCGUGAAAAAUGGAGCUGUUCAAGUAGGGUUCUAUUAAUAUGGACAGUCAUCAGUACCCACAGACUUCUCUUCGGCUAGGAAGUUACAUUUAAUAGCAUACAAAACAAUAAGAUCUUGCUGUAUACACAACAAUGUGACCUUGAGCAAAUUCCUGAAGAUCUCUGAGUCUGCCUUGCCAUCUGUAAAACUUGUAUGAUAAUGUCAUCUACCGCCUAGUUGUUUAAUAAUUACUGAGAUCAAUACACGCCAUGGUUUGAGAACGGUCCGGUGUAAAGGAGUCUUCUUGGGGUGAUGGUCCCUAGAAAGGCCUUGAAGACAGAAGAGGCAGAACAUCCUGGAAGAACCCAUCUCUGGGGUCGCUGGCUUGCGAUGUGAAGGCGUCAACACACAUCCUUUCUAGGAUGAGCUACCAUUACCAGAGCCCCAAACCCGGAGAGGGCAUCAGAUCUUACAGAACCCCCAGAAACAAGAGCCAAAAUAUGCCUUUCUUUGCUUUAAAAAUAACCUGGCUGGUGUCUCACUGCUGUGAAGUGAGGCGAAUUAAUACAAAGCCUAUGCGGUCUGUAGCACGGAGUCCUGGAAACUGUAAGAAACGCUCUGUGAAUAUUAAAGCUCGGCUAAAACCCAGCAUCUCUCGAACAGCUACUUCUUAGGAAACACUUGCCUCGUGUGAGGCACUGGAUUGGGUCUUGAGAACAUAAAGACGAAUAAAGCAUUAACUUUUUCUCAA